rnacentral:snRNA from 1 species
CACUUUGCACAGUGGCAGUAUCAUAGCCAAUGCAGUUUCUCUGAGGCCUGAUUAUUGCGAAUUGAAAAGUUUUCUCAAAUUUCCC